rnacentral:rRNA from 1 species
ACGGAGGGUGCAAGCGUUGUCCGGAUUUAUUGGGUUUAAAGGGUGCGUAGGCGGCCAUUUAAGUCAGCGGUGAAAGACCCCGGCUCAACCGGGGCAGUGCCAUUGAUACUGGAUGGCUUGAGUGUUGGAGGGGUACAUGGAAUUGAUGGUGUAGCGGUGAAAUGCAUAGAUACCAUCAGGAACACCGAUAGCGAAGGCAUUGUACUGGCCAACAACUGACGCUGAGGCACGAAAGCAUGGGGAGCGAACAGGA